rnacentral:tRNA from 1 species
GGGGUCAUAGUUCAAAGGUAGAAUAAGCGGCUCCAGACCGCUUGAUGGGGGUUCGAGUCCUCCUGACCCCA